UUUAUUUUUUUUUUUUUAUAGGAAAGUAAAUACAUUUUAGUCAACGUUAAUAUUUGACCAAGUAAAUUAAUACCUUAGCAUUAUUUAUUUUUUUAACAAAAUGAAGAAUAAAACAUAUAUUACAAUAAAUAUAGAGUGAUUUACAAAAUAAGUGUCGACUUCUGAUAUAAGUAAAGCGAAGAAGCCAUAUACUAGUCUAGGCCAUAUACCUAAGAGAGGAAUUGCUUAUUUUUCUUCUAUAUCAUCAUAUUUCAAUGUUAUCCAGUUGAAGAAUCAGAUCCAAGAAAUUUCUGAGCAGUUUGGGAAGUUUAUC